GCCAUUGGGAGAUGGAGGUUUGUAACCAAGUAGGUGACCAGGUUGAGCCCGAUCCCAAAGGCUGCCAAUCUCUCGCACAUCUCCGUCACUGCAUGAGAACACAUCUGAGUGAAUCCUAGGCUCCGGCUUUUCACAGAGCAUACAACUGCAGGAUCUUGAGAUAUUUUUUGGAACAUUUCAGCUGAAUCGGUAGAACAUGAAAUAAGCAACGAACCGAAGAUGAGCGGCGCGGCUUUCCAGCCUCCGGUGUGUCUCUUGUCUGCUUUCCUACCCUUGUAGUCCACAGUGCCAUCGUGAACCAGCCACCCAUCUGCUUCCUCCCUACUCUCCA